rnacentral:misc_RNA from 1 species
UGGAGAGAGGGUUUUUAUGUCACUGCCAUGGCAACUGCAGGAAGUAGAUGGGCGAUUGUUAUGUCUCGUGGGGCUGGGUUUUCGGAUCAGGUGGUGGAAUUAGAUUUUCUCUAUCCUAGUGAAGGGGUCCAUAGGAGAUGGGAUGCUGGAUAUAGGAUUACGUCAACUGCAGCCACAUGGGAUCAAGCUGCUUUAGUUCUAAGUGUUCCAAGAAGGAAACCUGCAGAUGAAACACAAGAGACACUUCGUACUUCUGCUUUUCCUAGCACUCAUGUCAAGGAGAAAUGGGCAAAAAAUCUUUACCUUGCAUCUAUCUGUUAUGGGCGAACUGUUUCUUGAGGCACCAAGGUUUGGCUGCUAAUUUUCUUGGGUGCCGUGUGAUAACCCUGAAUGUGCCUUGAGCAACAUCCUUCAUAUUUUUCUAACUAAUGGAGAAAAAUAGAUGAUACUGUUUCGUGCUUGUCAACCCGGCUUUUCUUUUCAUUUGGGAAUGCUAUUUGCAAAAUCCAUUGCCAUCAAUGUAUGUGAAUAUUAGUAUAGGCAGUUCUGGAGCUAGGAUGGGAGUAAUUUACAUAUUGGUUAAAGAUUGUACAGCUUAAACAAUAAUUAGUUUCAGAGACGACCAAAACAGGAUAUUCUGUAGUAUUGUGG